CUCCACGCGCCGUCAUCAACUCCGCCACACAUGACGGUCGGGACCUGAAAAGCUUCGCUUUUCGGGGCGAAACUCAAGGUGAUUCAAGGGCUGCUGGCGUUUAUGGAGGCAUGAAGUCCGGUGGUGAGGAUUCGUGGAGACGGUGGGGUGCUGAUGGGACGUUGACAGACCUUGAGACAGUACCUUGAAUGGUGGCCUCGAUUCGGGAGCUGGACAGACGCUCCCCGAACUUUCCAGAAGCGGUGACGGCUUCCUGCCUUGGUGUAAUGGUUUGGGCCAGUUGGGCCACUUUAGUUUUGUGAUCGGGCUAGGGGUUUUAGGGGCUGAUAGGGUUAUUGGGUUUGGUGUAUGUGUUGGGCUUCGGGUGUAUUUGGGUUAUACGGGUCAGUCCAUUAUGCUUAGACAUUGGGCCCCAACUGUUUGGGCUUUGUAACCUGGACUUUUAAUGGACUGUUUAAUAAAUAAAUAAUUUAUUUAUUUAUCUA